rnacentral:misc_RNA from 1 species
CAAUCCUUGGAAAUCUCCUUUGCAAGCUGUUCUCUUUCUUCAUCAUCUUUUUUGGUGGAAUAUAAAUGCGCACUAGAACGCAGUGCAUAUUGGUGUGAGCCCUGCAAUGCUUGUCCAGAUACAGCAAGCUGACGAGCACGAAGCGCGGAGAGAGACUUGCGAGCUAAGAUCGCAGCCAUUGGUGUGGUACUGACAGCAGCGAAGACGACUGGCGAUUCUUCCUCUUCUGCGCCUCCGAUUGAAGAAAAACAAACUGAAGCCUGAAACCAGCUGAUAAAUUGGGCUUUUUUUUUUUUUUUUC